GACCUGGUGGUGUAAUGGCAACGCACCUGCUGCAUGUAGUCCUGAGAAGAGGUCUUUGUAAGCAGGAGGUUCCCCGUUCGAUACGGGGUCAGGUCU